rnacentral:rRNA from 1 species
UACGGAGGGUGCAAGCGUUUUUCGGAAUCACUGGGCGUAAAGCGCGUGUAGGCGGUCUACUAAGUCUGAUGUGAAAGCCCGGGGCUCACCCUCGGAAGUGCAUUGGAAACUGGCAGACUGGAGUCCCGGAGAGGAGGGUGGAAUUCCUGGUGUAGCGGUGAAAUGCGUAGAUAUCAGGAGGACCGCCGGUGGCGAAGGCGGCCCUCUGGACGGUGACUGACGCUGAGGCGCGUAAGGGUGGGGAGCAAACAGG